UCUCUCUCUCUCUCUCUCUCUCUCUACUGCCUUUAUGCUUCCCUUCUCCGCCGAAUCCCUCUCUUCGUCCGUCGCUUCCUCCGAAAUCUGCCCAGCCAAAUCUCAUACUUCUGCUUCGCUCCCGAUACGAACACCGCACUCUUCACUUCCGGCAUAUUUGUUUCUCGGAAACAGCAUUUCUUCUUCUUUUAGUUUCUGGAAAUCAUUCGGUCGAUUGAAAACUUUAGGGUUUAGAGAGGCAUGAGGCUGCACGAUGAGAUUGUACCGUUUCAUAGAAGCGGAAUACGAGGAGAUGAAGAAUAUGUAGAAGGAGAUGAAGAGGAGGAAAUUUCCUCUAUAGAAGCUGGGUUUCUUCCUCCUCACCAUCCUUGUCCUCUCCAGAGGAAACUCGUUGUUGUUGGU
rnacentral:misc_RNA from 1 species